CCAACCACAGACUCUGAAGAAAAAUUAUCCUCUCUAGAAGGAAUUGUUCUGAGAUUCAUAUAAAUACUGUGGGAUUGAUUACUACUCGAAUUUGAAUGCUUCAGGUAAAUAUGUUAUUGUCUAUUUUUGCUCUCAGCAGACAAUAUGGAAGACAGACUUCCAUGACUUAGGCAAGUCACCUCAACUCCUUGAAACAGUUUCUGUCUUUGUAAAAUAAGACAGUUGGAUUAAAUUAUCUACAAAGUUCGUUUCAACUGGAGUCCUCUGAUUUAGACUCUGUCUCCAGGACUGAUUUUUCUCAUAAAGUCAAUGAAAUGUGGUGGUUUAAGAAGAAUGAAGCUACAUCAGAGGGGCAAUCUGGUCUACUAAAAAGAACACUGGAACCAGAAAAGCUGGUUUUCAAAUUCCCUCAAGCCAGUCCUUCCCCCUCUCUGGGUGAAUCAAUAUUAAGUAAAG